UUCCCUCGUUCUCCAAGUGGGUGCCUGAUUUCCAAAACUUGAAUUGUAUUCCCUCGUUAUCCAGGUGGGCGCCUGGUUGCUAAAACCUGAAACUGCAUUCCCUCAUUAUCCAGGUGGGCGCCUGGUUGCUAAAACUUGAAACUGCAUUCCCUCAUUAUCCAGGUGGGCGCCUGGUUGCUAAAACUUGAAACUGCAUUCCCUCGUUAUCCAGGUGGGCGUCUGGUUGCUAAAACUUGAAACUGCAUUCCCUCGUUAUCCAGGUGGGCGCCUGGUUGCUAAAACUUGAAACUGCAUUCCCUCGUUAUCCAGGUGGGCGCCUGGUUGCUAAAACUUGAAACUGUAUUCCCUCGUUAUCCAGGUGGGCGCAUGAUUGCUAAAACUUGAAAAUGUAUUCCUUCGUUAUCCAGGUGGGCGCCUGAUUGCUAAAACUUGAAACUGUAUUCCCUCAUUAUCCAGGUGGGCGCCUGAUUGCUACAAAAUAGUCAAAACAAAAGAAAUUUUUCUGCCCUAGUUUGGGAUCUGGUCAUAUUUGCGAGUGUUAAUCGGAUCAUGUUACCUACAGAUCUCUAAGAAUUUAAAAGCUAAAUCCCAUUAUCCAGGAGGGACCUGAAAACUUUGAAUUAAAUCUCAUCUUAAAAGUGAUAACUUUAAAUCUAAAUUAUAUUUUCUAAAGGGAGAACUUACGCUAAAAUUUUAAAUUAAAUUAUAUUAUCCAAGAGGGUCCUGAGAACUUUUAAAAUUAAAUCCCAUUAUCCAGGAGGGUCCUGAAAACUUUUAAAUUAAAUCUCAUUAUCCAAGAGGGUCCUGAAGACUUUUAAAAUUAAAUCCCAUUAUCCAGGAGGAUCCUGAAAAUUUUAAAUUAAAUCCCAUUAUCCAGGAGGGUCCUGAAAACUUUUAAAUUAAAUCCCAUUAACCAGGAGGGUCCUGAGAACUUUUAAAAUUAAAUCUCAUUAUCCAGGAGGGUCCUAAAAACUUUUAAUUUAAAUCUCAUUAUCUAGGAGGGUCCUGAGAGAUCUUUUUUAAAAUUGAAUUCCAUUAUCCAGGAGGGUCCUGAAAAUUAAAAACUACUCCCUCUGUUCCAGUUUAUGUGAACCAAUUUCUUUUUUUGGUCUGUUCCAAAAAGAAUGAACCCUUUUCUAAAUUUGGUAACAAUUUAGCUUAAAGUUAUAACUUUACCCUUAAUGAGAAGCUUUUAUAACCACACAAAUACUCUGGGCCCCAUUUGAACUUGUUGGACCACAAAUUCCAAAAGUCUUCAUUUUUUACUUAAACUUCGUGCCCAGUCAAAUAGGUUCACAUAAAUUGGAACGGAGGGAGUAAAUCCCAUUAUCCAGGAGGGUCCUGAAAAUUUCAAAUUAAAUCUCAUUAUACAGGAGGGUCCUGAAAAUUUAAAAACUAAAUCCCAUUAUCCAUGAGGGUCCUGAAAAUUUUAAUUAAAUCCCAUUAUUCAGGAGGGUCCUGAAAAUUUAAAAACUAAAUCUCAUUAUCCAUGAGGGUCCUGAGAACUUUUUAAAAUUAAAUCCCAUUAUCCAGAAGGGUCCUGAGAACUGAGAAUAAACUUACCUGAGUCAUACUCUCAUCUUAGAGGAUUCUGAACAGAAUUUCUUGCUCCCUGAACCAUGUUUUUCCAUGGGAGGUCCCUGUGGAUUUAAAAAUUUUCUUGCCCCUGUUUCGGACAAAUAAAAUCUUGUUAGUUUGAAAAUGUGGUGGUUAGUUUGUGGCAUUAUUACUGAGUGUCUGCUUCCGCCGCUACCAUGCUUCAUUCUGAUUAGCUACUUCGGGCUAGCAAAGAGUUGUUUGACCUUUUGACCGGAACUGGACCACAAAAACCUCUGCAUGACCUGAAUCUCUCACACUCACUUGUUGCAUUGUGUUUUCAUUUUGAAAGUUGCUGGAUCCUUGUAUUUUCUCAAAAUUCAAGUUUCACUUGAUUGCCUGAACCUUAGUUAUCACCAUACUGCUUACUCUAAAUCAAGUCAAUUAUGAUGUGCCUAGCUGGACUCCGCUUUGUGCAAUUUAGAGGCUGGUAAUAAGCUUUGAAAUCCUUUCCUGCUUGUUCAACAAGGGCUAAUUCUAAAGAGACUCAUAAAGAUAGACUCAAAGUGAAAUGAUUUUUGACAAAAGGAACAAAGGAAAAUUUGAACACAGAUGACUAUAUGAAGAAGAAUGAGAAAAAGAAGACUUAUCUGAGGGAAGCAGCCAACUCUAAUGAUCAUGACAUGCAUUUCGGACUGAUCAGCCUAAUCCAUCCAACCAAUCAUAUUUUCGGUUCAUGUCAUGUCUUCAUACUUCAAAACCGGGCUUUCACUGAUCCAAUUUCUUUGUAAAGUCAUGAGCCUCAUUCGACUUGUAGUGCCCUGAAGGGUUUUCACCAACAAGCCUCUCUCAUUUGUUCAUCUCUCAACUCACCAUCGCCUUACGGUGACCGUGAGGGUUUUCACCAAUAAGACUCUCUCAUUUUAAAUUUUCUCUCAGCUCAUCAUCGCCUUAUGGUGCCCGUGAGGAUUUUCACCAAUAAGACUCUCUCAUUUUAAAUUUUCUCUCUUGUGCCCAGGAACAAAGUGUUACCCAUGAUGUAAAUCAUACCUCUAUCUCGCUUGACCUGGCAUUUUUAAAGAUUGGAUGGAAGGUAUUUCUUUGGACCGUAAUGUAGGCUUUUGGACGAGGUUAGAAAGAAAGUGUGGCAUGAAGGCUCAAACUAACUUAAGAUGAGAGGGGUCAAAAUUACAACUUUUGGAAUCGGAUCUUUUCAAAACCAAAACUUCUGCCCCAAUUUCUUUGGGUCUGGGGAAUUUUUAUUUUUAUUUUGAUGGGACCGAACCGUAAGGCUGCCUACGUAUCCUUAAAAGGAAUCAGGUCGAACAUAGUUCAAAAGAAAGUUGUUUGUUUUUGUUUCCCUUUUUCUUUUUUUUUUCUUUU
rnacentral:lncRNA from 1 species